GACGGUGUUUCCCUGCCCCAGGCCUCUAGAACAGAGCGGCGUGGGGCCGCGUCUCCCCUGUGUGUUGCCUCUACACCCCCAUCCCCACCAGCCCUCACCUCCUCAUUUGCCAUGGCAGUCAUCUUGGUCAUCAGGGACUGAAUUCGUUGCUGGAGGAGGAAGAGGACAGUGCGACCCAAACCGGAACCUCGGAGGGCCACCGCAGGGCACGCACCUCCUCAGCUGCUCGGAGCUCAUCCUCCUCGUGAGCAUCCGUCUUCUCUGCGGCCGACAGCCCCGCGGCAAGCGUUGUUUUCUUGUCCUCCGCCUAAACGGGAAGAUGAGGAAACAGCUGAGCACCGGAGCUGGAGACUCAGCAGAGAUCUGAAUAUGGCCCGUCAUGUUACCUGCUGUACGAAUGCUGUUAAAGGGAAUACUAAGACAGUAAGUUCAGAGCAUCCUUCAAGAGCACUCAUUGCUCUUUGAAUCGGGAACUGCAUCUCAGAACCACACUGUAAGCUAAACCUUAAAACAUCUGAGAGAUGGCUCAGAGGUUAAGAGCAUCGGCUGAUCUUCCAGAGGUCCUGAGUUCAAUUCCCAGCAACCACAUGGUGGCUCACAACCAUCUAUAAUUUGAUCUGGUGCCCUCUGCAUAUAUGAUAAAUAAAUCUUUAAAAAAA